GACGAACGCUGGCGGCGUGCUUAACACAUGCAAGUCGAACGGAAAGGCCCUGCGUUUGUGGGGUGCUCGAGUGGCGAACGGGUGAGUAACACGUGAGUAACCUGCCCUUGACUUUGGGAUAACUUCAGGAAACUGGGGCUAAUACCGGAUAGGAGCUCCUGCUGCAUGGUGGGGGUUGGAAAGUUUCGGCGGUUGGGGCUGGAUUCGAGGGUUAUCGGCUUGUUGGUGGGGUAGUGGCGUACCAAGGCUUUGACGGGUAGCCGGCCUGGGAGGCUUGCCGGCGUCAAUGGGACUGAGGUACGGCGCAGACUCCUACGGGCGGCAGCAGUCGGGAGUAUUGCACAAUAGGCGGAAGCCUGAUACGGCGACGCCGGGUGCGGAAUGCCGGCCUACGGGUUAUAAACCGCUUUCGCCUGUGACGAAGCGUGAGUGACGGUAAUGGGUAAAGAAGCACCGGCUAACUACGUG
rnacentral:rRNA from 1 species